rnacentral:rRNA from 1 species
GGGUCCCUACGGGGGGCAGCAGUGGGGAAUAUUGCACAAUGGGGGAAACCCUGAUGCAGCGACGCCGCGUGAAGGAAGAAGGCCUUCGGGUUGUAAACUUCUGUCUUCAGGGACGAUAAUGACGGUACCUGAGGAGGAAGCUCCGGCUAACUACGUGCCAGCAGCCACGGUAAUACGUAGGGAGCGAGCGUUGUCCGGAAUUACUGGGUGUAAAGGGAGCGUAGGCGGGAUUGCAAGUUGAAUGUGAAAUCUAUGGGCUUAACCCAUAAACUGCGUUCAAAACUGCAGUUCUUGAGUGAAGUAGG